AAGAGUUUGAUCAUGGCUCAGAUUGAACGCUGGCGGCAGGCCUAACACAUGCAAGUCGAACGGUAACAGGAAGCAGCUUGCUGCUUCGCUGACGAGUGGCGGACGGGUGAGUAAUGUCUGGGAAACUGCCUGAUGGAGGGGGAUAACUACUGGAAACGGUGGCUAAUACCGCAUAACGUCGCAAGACCAAAGAGGGGGACCUUCGGGCCUCUUGCCAUCAGAUGUGCCCAGAUGGGAUUAGCUAGUUGGUGAGGUAACGGCUCACCAAGGCGACGAUCCCUAGCUGGUCUGAGAGGAUGACCAGCCACACUGGAACUGAGACACGGUCCAGACUCCUACGGGAGGCAGCAGUGGGGAAUAUUGCACAAUGGGCGCAAGCCUGAUGCAGCCAUGCCGCGUGUAUGAAGAAGGC
rnacentral:rRNA from 2 species